rnacentral:lncRNA from 1 species
GCCAAAUUACCAAAAUCAACAUAUCUAUCACUUGAUCAAAAGCAUAAAAACCAUGCUUAACAAAAUAAAUAAGCCAUUUUCGCAUGGCUCAUAUUUACAACCCAAAAAUCAAACAUAUUAACUAGACUAUACAUGCCAUAAGUUUAAAUUCAAACUUAGUAUAAUACCGAAAAUAGUCGAUAGUGUGAUAGACUUCUCUGACGAUUCUCGUGCGCUUAACCAACUUCCAAAUCUAUAAAAUUGAAAGCAAUUACACACAGUAAGCUAUUAAAGCUUAGUAAGUCAUAAGCAAAUAAACAUUUAAUCAUUUACGUAAAUUAAGCUAGAAAAUUAGUAAUAAAUCAUUAUAAUUUCACAUAUAAUUCAAUUUAUCAACUUAUAUAUCAAAACUUAUAUAAUUUGUAAUAACUUCCCUUUUUACCGAAUAAUCAAUUGAACAUUAAUAUAACCAAUCAUCACUUUCCUCAAUGCACAUAUACAUCAAAGGUCGAAUACAUAUAUAUUCAAAUAUGCAAUCACAUAAUUCAUAUUUCACAUAACUUCAUAUCAUCAAUUCAAGUAUACAACUUACCUUAUUUUCAAAUAGGUAAUCAACUAUCACAUACCUGGUCACUUAGCCUGAUUUAUACAUUCAUACACAACUUAUCUUUGCCCGUUGAACCAUUCGGAAUUAAAAAGGAUACUCGGAUAGUCGGAAGACUCGUACAAUGCCAACGUCCCAGACGUGGUCUUACAUGUAAUCACAUAUCGAUGCCACUGUCCCAGACAGGGUCUUGCACAAAUCAAAUACGAUGCCAAUGUCCCAGACAUGGUCUUACACAUAAACACAAGUCGAUGCCAACGUCCUAGACGUGGUCUUACACGAAAACACAUAUCAAAAACCUUUGUCAUGACAUAUGUAUCCUAACUAUUCCUAAGGCUCAUACGGGAAUUUCGGACGUCGUAACUCAGUCGAAGCGAAUUCAUAAACAUAACUGCCAAGCUUGUACACAUUCGGCUAAUACAUAUAUUUAUUCACAUAUUCACUUCAGCACAUAUAAUUCACAUUUAAUUAAAAUUAACAACGUCUAUUUGCUUAUAAACUUACCUCGGAUAUCGACGGACGGAAUAGACGACUAUUCGAUUAUUUUUGUUUUUCCCCGAUCCAAAUCUGUUUUCUUUGGUUCAUGAUCUAAACAUAUUCAAAUUAAACUUAUUUAAACAUAAUUCCAUUCAAUUUAAUCCAAAAACACAUAAAUGAGAAAUUUACUAUUUUGCUCCUGACAUUUUACACUUUUUACAAUUUCGUCCCUAUUGCAUAAAACACAAAAUACACAAAAUUUCAUAAUACCCAUGCUUGGCCGAAUAUCACUCUAGCUCAUCUAAGUCCAUACAUUUAAUUUAUUUCACAUUUUAGUCCCUCAAAAAUUUAUUUUCACAAUUUAAUCCAAUUUACUCAAAUUCAUCAAAAAUCCAAAGACAAAACAUGAUAAUUUAACACAUAUAUUUAAUAUUUCAUCAUCAAACAACAAAAAUCUCAAACAUUCAUCAAUGGCACAUUUCAAAAUCACCAUCAAUUCACAAAAUUAAGGCAUGGGUUUUGAAGAACUCGAAGCAACGAUCUCAAAAACAUAAAAAUUAUCAAAAACUAAAGUAAAACAUACCUUGAAUCAAGCUAAAUAAUGCCGAAACCUAAAGAAAGCAUGGAUGAUUUCUUUCUUUUCUCCAUUCGGCCAACAAAGAUGAAAAAUAGCCAUCUUUUAUGUUUUAUUUUAUUAUAACUUAAUUUAUUAACUAAGUUACAAAAUUAGCCUUUUAGUAAUAAAUAUUUAUAACAUAUAAUAUAAGGCUAAUUUUGACCAUUGCCACCCACUAACAUUAAAAUGGCCUAAUUGCCACAUAAAACCUCCAUUUUAUAAAGACAACAACAAUUAAGCACUUUCAUAUUUAACCCUCAAAUUUUUACUUUACACGAUUAAGUUAUUUUCUCAAAUUAAGCACACAAAUAAAUUAUUUAUCGAAACUUUCACACAUAUAAUUUCACACAUAUUUAGCACAGAAAAUAAUAUUAAAAUAUUUUUUUAGACUCAGAUUUUUGGUCCCGAAACUACUGUUACGAUUAUGGUAAAAAUCAGGCCGUUACAAAUACCUUUUCGAAGGGAGAUGCUGAAAAGAUACUUCGUAUCCCGCCACUGUCGAAUAUUCUAUUGUACGCUCUGGGCCAUUUGGGGAGACAAAUGCUAGAAUCCAUGAAAGGAAAAUUAGUACUGGUCAGGAAAUAAUGAUAUUUGUCAAUAAUUACAUAAUUGAGUUAAAUGUGACUGAAAAGAGAAAUCCCCCAAAACCGCAGGAGUUGAUAAAAUGGAGUGGCCCACCUGGUUCUAUUGUCAAGAUCAAUUUUGACAGUGCGCAUGAUGGGUGUCACUACAAAUCGACAUCGAGUAUUGUGUCCAAAAAUGCUGAAGGGAUCGCUCUUUUUUCCUACUCAAAGACCCAAAAAGGGGUACCUUCCGCUUUCGCUGCCGAAGCACUUGCAUGCUGUAAAGUAGUUCAAAUAGGUAUUGAAAUGCAGUGGCUGGAGAUCAUUAUUGAAAGGGACUCAUUAGCCAUCAUCAAAAAGUGUCAAUCAAAAAGUCAAGAUAGAUCACAAGUAGGAGUGUACAUUCACGAUGUUCAUAAGAUAAUAGACAAAUUCAACAAUAUUGUGUUCAAACAUACUCCGAGAUCAGAAAAUGGUUUAACCCAUAUACUAGCAACAAAAUCUCUGAAGAAGACGGAGGAGUUUUACCUAUUAAAGAAUGUCUCUGGGUAUGCCGAGAAGCAAAAGAUUGCUAACUGGAUGCGAGAACCAUAUUGAAAUUGGCCGGGGGAGGGGAAAGGUGAAAGGAAAGUAUCACAUAGAAGCUAAAAAGUUUUUUUGAAGAACAG